AGAUUUAUCUACUGAGGAAAAGUGGAGCAUUGUUUAGUAAUGAUGACAGAGAAGUUAGAAGCACUGGCAGUCUCUAAAUGGGGUAGCACCAUUCUUGAUUAUCCCAAGGAAUACAGCUUCAAUGGGCAAUGAGGUGAGAGCUCCGCACGCUGGGUUUAACAGGGCUGAACUGAAGUACCAGAGCUGCUUGGGUUACAGCAGGAUUUCCUAUUUGUGGAAAAAAAUGACUUUUACUAAUUCAUUGUAGCAACAACUUUUAAUAAUUAAUUGUUUUCAUUUGCUGGUGUGUGUGCUGCUGGAAUAUUUUGGCGUGUUUAUCUAAGUUUGUUGCACUUUUUAUAAGUAAAUUGCUAGUACCUUGUUAUGUUUCAGA